rnacentral:lncRNA from 1 species
AGGGUGUCAAAAGUGAUAACUGCGACAAGGUCUUCUAAUCUAGCCAAUCAGUUUUCUUAAAAGAAUAAGUUAGUUUUCUGGAGUGUUGAGUGUUGUCCAAGGCAANGAGCCUUUAGUUUCUAAACGUUGAACAACGUUUUUGGGCACUGAGUGUCGCUUUCCUUUGCAAGAUUUGGAUUCUUUUUCCUCUUUAAUUUGUUGGGAAAGGGCUUGACUUUCUAGGCGAGAAGAGUUGUUCGUUGGGUGUUGUGUUCAAGUUCUUCUUUUGAUUCCUUGUGUGGUUGAGUUGAUUUAUAUAGAAUUAUUUCUUACUUGCGUGGAAUUAAUGAAUGUUUUAUGGAUGGUAAGCAUGAAUGUGUGUAUGAAUUUUAGUAUGUGUUAUAUGUAUGAUGAUAGUCAAAUAAAAUGGAAAGUGUGAAUUAAGUAUGA